UACGUAGGGUGCGAGCGUUAAUCGGAAUUACUGGGCGUAAAGCGUGCGCAGGCGGUCUGUUAAGACCGAUGUGAAAUCCCCGGGCUUAACCUGGGAACUGCAUUGGUGACUGGCAGGCUUUGAGUGUGGCAGAGGGAGGUAGAAUUCCACGUGUAGCAGUGAAAUGCGUAGAGAUGUGGAGGAAUACCGAUGGCGAAGGCAGCCUCCUGGGCCUGCACUGACGCUCAUGCACGAAAGCGUGGGGAGCAAACAGG
rnacentral:rRNA from 1 species